UAGGGAAUAUUCCACAAUGAGCGAAAGCUUGAUGGAGCGACACAGCGUGCACGAUGAAGGUCUUAUGGAUUGUAAAGUGCUGUUGCAAGGGAAGAAAAAGUAGUUGAGGAAAUGCUUCUACAUUGACGGUACCUUGUUAGAAAGCGAUGGCUAACUAUGUGCCAGCAGCCGCGGUAAUACAUAGGUCGCAAGCGUUAUCCGGAAUUAUUGGGCGUAAAGCGUUCGUAGGCUGUUUAUUAAGUCUGGAGUCAAAUCCCAGGGCUCAACCCUGGCUCGCUUUGGAUACUGGUAAACUAGAGUUGGAUAGAGGUAAGCGGAGUUCCAUGUGAAGCGGUGAAAUGCGUAGAUAUAUGGAAGAACACCAAAGGCGAAGGCAGCUUACUGGGUUUAUACUGACGCUGAGGAACGAAAGCGUGGGGAGCAAACAGGAUUAGAUACCCUGGUAGUCCACGCCGUAAACGAUGAUCAUUAGUCGGCAGAGAACUGUUGACGCAGCUAACGCAUUAAAUGAUCCGCCUGAGUAGUAUGCUCGCAAGAGUA
rnacentral:rRNA from 1 species